rnacentral:lncRNA from 1 species
GAUAACUGAAAAAAAAGUAUUGAAUACUUUAAAAUGUCAUAAAUGAAAAAACAAUUGUUUUCCCUUCUUAUCAAAAAAGCCUAAAUAUCAAUGUUGCCUGGCCAUUUAAAAAAAUCUAAUUUAAUCACUCAAAAGUUAUGAACAUCUUCACUUAAUAAUGUAACAUUUGAUCAAAACAUAAGCCAUCACAUUUGUAAAAAUAAAAUAAACCCACAACAAAACAUAUUAAAAACAAGAAUGUGUCCAUAGUACACGGAUGCCCCACUCGCACUAUCAUUUUCUAUGUUCAGUGGACCGUGAAAUUGGGGUCAAAACUUUAAUUUGGAAUCAAAAUUAGAAAAAUCAUAUCAUAGGGAACAUGUGUACUAAGUUUCAAGUUGAUGUAACUUUAACUUCAUCAAAAACUACCUUGACCAAAAACUUUAAUCUGAAUGUCGCACUAUCAUUUUCUAUGUUCAGUGGACCAUGAAAUUGGGGUCAAAACUAUAAUUUGGCAUUAAAAUUAGAAAGAUCAUAUCAUGGGGAACAUGUGUACUAAGUUUCAAGUUGAUUGGACUUCAACUUCUUCAAAAACUACCUUGACCAAAAACUUUAACCUGAAGCGAACAGACGGACGCACAGACGAACGGAGGCACAGACCAGAAAACAUAAUGCCCCUCUA